GACAGAGGGUGCAACAGUUGUUCGGAAUUAUUGGGCGUAAAGAGCUCGUAGGCGGUUUGUCGCGUCGAAUGUGAAAACCCGGGGCUCAACCCCGGGCCUGCAUUCGAUACGGGCAGACUAGAGUGCGGUAGGGGAGAUUGGAAUUCCUGGUGUAGCGGUGGAAUGCGCAGAUAUCAGGAGGAACACCGGUGGCGAAGGCGGUGAUCUGGGCCGACACUGACGCUGUAGAGCGAAAGCGUGGGGAGCGAACAGG
rnacentral:rRNA from 1 species